ACAACUCCUGACACCCAGUGGUCGUCCCGAGAGGGAUUCGGAGGUUGGGAUUUUCCGAUCAAAGUUGGAGACGGGUUUCAUACUUGAACCUGGAAUAAAUUACCCGAGCCUCUGCCCUAAUUUCCCUUUCUGUUUGACUGGUGGUUUUACUAAGACUUCCGGGCCUGACAGGAUCCUUCUGGAAUUUCCAAGGUGCUAGGUGCCCUCGCCUUCCGACAGUGCCGGUGAGGAGCAGAACAACCGCCUCUGCAAGGGGUUUGAAUCCCCCCGGCACAGGCACAAGACGCUGGCGGGGGUGUGUGGGCGAGUGUGGCCUCCGAGCAUCUCAGAGGACAGCCCUGCGGUCUGACGCGGCCUCGUCCCCUCCUGCUCUCUACGUGGGGGUUGGUGGCUGUCACGUCACGGUCUCAAGGAGAGAGAUGAAGACUUUGCAAAAAAAAAAAAAAAUCGUGGAUAUAAUUUCCUCCGUUUUAUGCAUUUCCCCUCCCACAAAAACAGCCUUGAACUCGCUGCCGAGACAAAAUCGGUGAACAAGUGGUAAAGAACAUGAACAGAAACACCUGGAAGCGGCCUAUCAUGCUUAGCGUGGUUUAAGGCCAGGAGCGAGCCUGGCUGUGGUUUUACAUCACCUUCCAAAUGCUACAUUCUUCUUCGGGAACGUGGUUUCCGUGCCUGGGAGGGAAUUCAACAGAGCUCUUGUAGGGGGAGACUAAUCUUUUUGCUUUUUCAGCGCUCAUUGGUUUUUAGUUGGAACGGCCCCUGUAACAAAAAGACAUUACUAACAAGAGAAAAACAGACGUUUGUCGGCAUGUACUUUUCCUAGUUGCACAGGAGACACCCAGGGAGUGAGUCGUUCUCAAAGAGGUGGCUUCAAAUUUCAGCGUGUGUCGCAUCCUCAACAAGGAACGGGUCUUGCUCUGUCCCCCAGGCUGGAAUGCAGUGGCCUUACUUAUCACAGCUAGCUGCAACCUCUGAACUCCUGGCCUUAAGUGAUCCUCCCUCCUCGGCCUCUCAUGGUGCUAGGAUUACAGAGCUCAAGAGGCCUGUGGGACCUUCCCUUCCAACCCCUGCAGCGCUCUGCCAAGAGGAAUCCUGAACACAUUUCCCCAUCUGGAUAGCUUUCAUGGGUAUGACUGGGAGAGACGACGAGGCAGGCUGGUCUCUUACAUCGCACGUCUCAAACCAGACGGCCUGGACAGCUGACCGUCUCGCAGUGGCCACGCUGGCCCUGAGCACGCAAGGCACUCCGCUCUGGAGCCCUGAUAGAGGCAAGAGUGGGCCAGUGACUCCUGGAAGGACUGUUCCAUCUGCAAAUGCUACAAUUGAUCGAUGACUCAUUUAAGCUUUACAAGAAGUCACAGCAAUGACCCGGGUAGGGACAAAAUUAUAUGAUUAAGUUUCCUUUAUUCCCUAUAAUUAAAUACACCUAUGAUUGCUA